rnacentral:rRNA from 1 species
UAAUGGAGCAAUUUGUCUGCUUAAUUGCAAUAACGAACGAGAUCCGAGCCCACUUAUAAUAGUGGGUAGCAUUAGUUUUCCACUGUUCAUUGUAAUCCUUUUGGCUGCGGUUAACCUAUGGAAGUCCGCUUCUUAGAGGCACAAUAUGCGAUAUAAUGGCUUAAUAUAGAAGUUGGACAAUAACA